GAGUUUGAUCAUGGCUCAGAUUGAACGCUGGCGGCAGGCCUAACACAUGCAAGUCGAACGGUAACAGGAAGCAGCUUGCUGCUUCGCUGACGAGUGGCGGACGGGUGAGUAAUGUCUGGGAAACUGCCUGAUGGAGGGGGAUAACUACUGGAAACGGUAGCUAAUACCGCAUAAUGUCGCAAGACCAAAGAGGGGGACCUUCGGGCCUCUUGCCAUCGGAUGUGCCCAGAUGGGAUUAGCUUGUUGGUGGGGUAACGGCUCACCAAGGCGACGAUCCCUAGCUGGUCUGAGAGGAUGACCAGCCACACUGGAACUGAGACACGGUCCAGACUCCUACGGGAGGCAGCAGUGGGGAAUAUUGCACAAUGGGCGCAAGCCUGAUGCAGCCAUGCCGCGUGUAUGAAGAAGGCCU
rnacentral:rRNA from 1 species